AUGAGAUGUCACGGUCUGCUGGAUCAGCAAGGCGCUGAUCGUCAUGUUCCUGUCUCUAGCUCUCUCUUUCUCUCUCUGUCUCUCUCUCUCUCCUGUUUUGCCAGGGCGGAACUCAUGGUGAGUUCACGCCCUCAGCCCACGCCUCCCUAUCAUUGGAAACACCUGGACCUCAUCAUGACCAGCUGGUAUUUAAGAGGGAAGAGGUCUGCUGUUCAGCGCUGGAUCUUUGUUAAGUGCUCAUUCCCUGGAUCAAUCCCCAUGUUUCCCUGUGUGAUGAGUGGGAGGAGCAACUGGUCACUAGUGGAGAGAGAGGUCGGAGUGGAGCGUGUGUGUUAUUCCCCUGUUGUCCCCGGAACCCUGGAAGCCUGCCCUUCUCACGUCUUGUAUAUAGCACUAUUCCCGCACAGCCUGUAAAUACACUUGGUGAGGAAAUUGUAAAUAAACUUUGUUAAAUCGCAACUCAGGAGUCCUGCAUGUGGAUCCCCCUCGGACAACCCGUGACAUGAGAGAUAUAAUUGGUUCCUUCCAGGUGGGUGGAAUUUGUGCCUUUUCAAGGGCCUAAUUGCAUGUAUUUAUUAUUGUGCUAUCUACUGUACAAUAUAAAGCGCCUUGAGGCGACUUUUGUUGUGAUUUGGCGCUAUAUAAAUAAAAUUGAAUUGAAUUGAAUUGAAUUUUUCUCAGUAUAGGGAUAAGAUCUUCUUUGAAUGCUUUAUAAAAUUCGGAAGUGAACCCAUCACUUCGAACCCAUCACCGUUUCAAAGACAGACCAGAUCUUAUCCUGCUUACUUUCUAUUGUGUUUUUCUGGGGAUCUCUUAUUUUGUAUAUUGUAUUGUCUGCUUGACGGUUCUUAAGUUUCCAUGCCAAUAAUUUUGUAAAUUUAGAGCCGUUUUCUAUUGUUUUCUUUGUCUAGAAAAUAGUAUCUUUUCAUUUUCCUGAGUGUACAUUAAGUUAAUUCCAUUUCCUAAUUUCUUCAUUUUUUUCUAGUGUGGCCGGAUUUUGGUUUUGUGCAAGUUGCUUUCUAGCUGCCUCAACUGCUUUUGGGAAUCCUGUAGUUUUUCUUUUUCCUUGAGGCAGCUGCAAGAAUUUUUCCUCUUAAUACUGCCUUGGUGGGGACAUUUCACCAUUAUCAUUUUCUUUCAUGUACAUUUGAAUUCCAUUGCUCAUUUCUUUUCUAAAAUUAGCAUUGUUAAGUAGGCUGGGGUUAAAUCUCCAUAUUGUAUCUCUUUUGUUUUCCUUUAAGUCAACUACAAUAUGCACUGGGGCAUGGUCACUAAAAUCUAUUGUUCCAUUGUCUGAGUCGAUAAUUCUUGUUCUGACCCUGCUAUAUACAACAAAAUAGUCUAUUCUAGUAUAUGAUAGUGAUGCGCGAAUCAUGAACAAGUGAUUCUCGAGUUCAGUACUCGAGAAUCACUUUACUGACUCGUGAAUCAUGAUUCACAAGCGCAACUGACUCAUCCCUGUUGCUGUUAGCAAACUAAUUUCAUUAGUAGAAAUAUAUCUAGCUUAUAAUUCAAAUUGGGAAGAAAAACACAACAUCCAGUAUCUUAGCAAAAACAUUUCUGCUCUGAACUGGAAGAAAAAACCCUGCAUAGAAGCUCACAUCAAGACAAUGGUCAUGUCCAAAUUCAUGGGCUGCAUCCUCCUGAGGACCCGGCCUUCGCGGUCUACGUGGGCCGGGUCCUCAGAACGUCGGGUAGGCCGGAAGUAAACGGCUGUGAAAUUGGACGGUCUAGCCUUCUGAUUAACAUCACCGCUGUCUCGGUGGAGUUUAAUAAACUCAGCCGUCUGCUCCUUGCUAUCUAAAAUAUAACGGGACACUGGCAUAAAUUCUCAACCAUCUCACACUUCUGUUUAAUCAGUUUUCUGUUUGACGUUUAUUCAGCUGUGUGAAAACCACCCGGGGGAUUAAUAAAGUUUUAUUUUAUCUAAUCUAAUAUCUUUAAUCUCAGCCAAACCGAUUUACUCACCAACAAAUAAAACACUGAAAAAAGCCAAACAAUAUCCUUUUUAGGUUGUCUAAGUGACUUAUAUAUUACGUUUAACCUGAGUAGCGAGAGUCCGCGGUGACCUGAAAAUGAUGUGCCGGGAGUUGUGCCGUUCUCGGUGGCUUCAGUAACCCUCGAGCUCUCGGUUAUCUAUCAAGCUGGUGGGUAACAGACGUCUCCGAAAACAUCGAAGCACUUUUGCAAAUAUGCGAUACCUUGAUAAACCGAGCAGAUACUUGAAGUUUACAUAGCUACAUUCUUGCCUGAAAAUAUGUUAAAAGUUUAUAUUGUGACCCAGAAAGAUUAAUAAAAGUAAUUUUAAAACUUAGUAGCGGCCGCCAUUGCCGGAAACUGGAGUUUGGCUGGGCCGCGCUAUGAAUUCUGGGAUAUGGUGGGCCACGAAGGACACACCCGACUCAUCCUUCAGAUUUGGGGAAAAGGAGGACGCAUUUGUCGGCUGCAUUCAGAGGAGUCUACGAAUUUGGACAGCCUUCGGCACGUCGCUGUGACGUAAUCGGUCUACAAAUGCGGCCUCAGGAGGAUGCAGCCCAUGAAUUUGGACACGACCAAUAGCUCCUCGGUUCACAGUAGCAUCGCUCUGCUAACAGCACAUUUGAGCUACUCACCCCCUCCCUUCCUGCGCUGAAUCGUAGGGGAAGCAAAUCACUCAUGACUCACUCACCCCCUCCCUCCUGUGCUGAAUCGUAGCGUAAGCAAAUCACUCAGGACUCACUAACCCCCUCCCUCCUGUGCUGAAUCAUAGAGCGAACGAAUCACUCACUCACUCACCCCCUCCCUCCUGGCUCACAGCUACUUCUUCUUCUUCUUGGUUGGCAACCAAUGUUAAGGCGCACUACCGCCCCCUGGCUCACAGCUCAGUGGACAUUUAGAUGAGAAAAUAUAUAUUUGACACAUGUAAGGAAAAUACUAAUAAAAUAAAAAUAAACAAAAGAAAUGUUCCCUUUAGAAAUUCUUUUGCUCUUUUUUACUAUAUAAAAUAGUUGUUUUCUUUAAGAAUCACUCAUCUUAGCAGUAGGAUUUACAUUAAAAGAGAAACUAAGUUUGAGUGAAAAUGUACAUUUUUUGCACUCUCUGGUCAACUGACUCAGUGACUCAAAUGACUCAAAAAACCCGAUUCACUUUGGUGAGUGACUCAUUAAAACUCGAUUCAGUAAAAAGAAUCAAAUUUACCAUCACUAGUAUAUGAUGAGUGAUGUGAGGAGUAGUGGGUAUAUCCUCUUACAUUACGGAACAUUUCCCUCCAUACAUCAAUCAAACCCAUUUCCUUCAACUCUUUCCCUUUUUAACCAGUUGUUUUGUUGGAGCCUGUUUGCUUUGAUAUAUCAAGUUUUGGAUUUAAAUGUAUAUUCAGAUCAUCUCCACAGACCAGGAAUCCUUUAGACUGUCUAAU
ensembl:lncRNA